UACGUAGGCAGCGAGCGUUGUUCGGAAUUACUGGGCGUAAAGAGUGUGUAGGCGGUGCUCUAAGUUCCGGUGUGAAAUCUCCUGGCUCAACUGGGAGGGUGCGCCGGAAACUGGAGUGCUUGAGCGUGGGAGAGGAAAGCGGAAUUCCUGGUGUAGCGGUGAAAUGCGUAGAUAUCAGGAGGAACACCUGUGGUGUAGACGGCUUUCUGGACCAUUGCUGACGC
rnacentral:rRNA from 1 species